UCCCCCGGUGGUCUCAUAGGUAAAGCCAGUGUGGUCCCGCCAGGCUCCAGUGAGUGUGGUGUCCUGCAGCUACUUUCCAAAGGCAGGGGCUCCUGAGCAAAUCCACCUCAAUGAAUUCCUGGAUUUUUGGAUGGUGAGACAGAUGGAAAGAGACAGCAUGUAUGAUGUGAUGCCCCUGGCAUUAGCAUGAUAACAUGACUGCCAGAGAGAACACUGGGACAUGUAACAGCAAGCAGGGAUGAGCCCACUUUCCACGAUGUGUGAGCUUCAGUGUCACUGCUGUGAGGGGUGUGAUCAGCUGGGGAAGAGGCAAGACGUCAUUGCACAGCCUCCAGUGAACUGAGUGG